rnacentral:sRNA from 1 species
UAUGGUUUGAAGUGGUGAACAUGGAUUUUUCUCGGCUUCACAUGUACAGUCCUCCCCAGUGUGUGCCGGAGAACACGGGCUACACGUAUGCGCUCAGUUCCAGCUAUUCUUCAGAUGCUCUGGAUUUUGAGACGGAGCACAAAUUGGACCCUGUAUUUGAUUCUCCACGGAUGUCCCGCCGUAGUUUGCGCCUGGCCACGACAGCAUGCACCCUGGGGGAUGGUGAGGCUGUGGGUGCCAACAGCGGCACCAGCAGCGCUGUCUCCCUGAAGAACCGAGCGGCCAGAACAGCAAAACAGCGCAGAAGCACAAACAAAUCAGCUUUUAGUAUCAACCACGUGUCAAGGCAGGUCACAUCCUCUGGCGUCAGCCAUGGCGGCACUGUCAGCCUGCAGGAUGCUGUGACUCGACGGCCUCCUGUAUUGGACGAGUCUUGGAUUCGUGAACAGACUACAGUGGACCACUUCUGGGGUCUUGAUGAUGAUGGUGAUCUUAAAGGUGGAAAUAAAGCUGCCAUUCAGGGAAACGGGGAUGUGGGAGCCGCCGCCGCCGCCUCCGCGCACAACGGCUUCUCCUGCAGCAACUGCAGCAUGCUGUCCGAGCGCAAGGACGUGCUCACGGCGCACCCCGCGGCCCCCGGGCCCGUGUCGAGAGUUUAUUCUAGGGACAGGAAUCAAAAAUGUAAGUCUCAGUCCUUUAAAACUCAGAAAAAGAUGUGUUUUCCAAAUUUAAUAUUUCCUUUCUGUAAGUCUCAGUGUCUGCACUAUUUGUCUUGGAGACUUAAAAUUAUCCCUUGAAAGCAUAAGAAGUACACCCCAAACCAGCUUUGUCCUUCCUGUCCUCUUCUAGUUUACAUUUUAUGUGGUUAGUAAUUUUGUACCUAAAAGUAUUUGAAAUUCUAUAAAUUUGGACUUGACGUGAGCAAAAGAAAAUUUCUACGUAAGCGAAACUAAUAAAACUACAGUCACUUUCAGAUGCACACCUUUAUUUUUAUA